CCUACGGGAGGCAGCAGUGAGGAAUAUUGGUCAAUGGCCGGAAGGCUGAACCAGCCAUGCCGCGUGAAGGUCAGUGCCCUAUGGGCGUUAAACUUCUUUUGUGCGGGAGCAAUAAUGGUCACGUGUGGCCAGACGAGAGUACCGUACGAAUAAGCAUCGGCUAACUCCGUGCCAGCAUGCGCGCUAAUACGGGGGGUGCAAGCGUUGUCCGGAGUUAUUGGGUUUAAAGGGUGCGUAGGCUGUGAGGGAAGUCAGCGGUGAAAUGCCCCCGCGCAACGGGGUGAAGUGCCAUUGAUACUGCCUGGCUGGAAUGCGGAUGCGGUAGGAGGAAUGUGUGGUGUAGCGGUGAAAUGCAUAGAUAUCACACAGAACACCGAUUGCGAAGGCAUCUCACGAAUCCGCGAUUGACGCUGAUGCACGAAAGCGUGGGUAUCAAACAGGAUUAGAUACCCGAGUAGUC
rnacentral:rRNA from 1 species